UACUACAUGUAAAGUACCUGGGACAGUGCCUAGUGCAUAGUGAGUUCUCUAUAAGUAUUAGCUAUUAUUUUCCUUUUGAAUGUCCUCAUGGCAUCAAAUCUUUUACUUAUGCAGCAAACGCUUUUGAGUACAGCUAUGUGGAACACAUCAUGCUAGAUUCUGGGGAUAUGAAAAGGAGUAAAAUUCAGCACUUACUUCCAAGCAACUCACAGUGCAAUGAGGACGAUAGCAAGUCAAGGGGUAGACCUCCAACCGGAAGGAUCAUGGAAGGGCAUAGGAGAGACCUUCAAUCCAAAUAUAGGCCUUGAAAGGUGACUAGGAGUUCAUCAGUCAAUGAAAGGUAUUCCAGAAAGAAGGAAGAGGGUAUAUAAAGGGCUAGGGGCAAACAAGUGGUUGUGGCCUGUAGGUACCAGUCAGUGGCUCUAGAGUGGGAGACUGGAUGGUAAUAGGUGGGGCUGAUGGACAGAUUUCAGAUCAAGAAAAGCCAUGAGAGACACACUAAGACUUUGGAAUUUAUCCUAAAAUGUUUAUUGGAGAAUUAUUGGAAUUGUUUUAGGAAGUGACAAAAUCAGAUUAAUGAUUUAGAAAAAGUGAUCUGGCUGCAAUGUAGACACUGAGCUGGAGAGAAACCAUCCUGUAGGCAAAAAGAUCAGUCAAGACACUUUUUAAAGAUCCAACAUUGAAAUGAUGGAUGAGGGUCCUUGAGCCAGGGCAGUGGCAGAGGGACAGAAAAAGAGGCAGAUCUGAGAGAUAUUGAGCAAGUGAAAUGUCGCCAACCAGGUAAAGGAUGAGGGACAGAGAGAAGCCGAGGAGAACUCCCAGUUUCUGAGGACCUGGUGUAAAGCCAAGGAGGCAGAAAGUGGGAUGAAUCCCAGACAAGGGUGUUUCCAUGUGCGUGGAAUGGAAGCCCACAGAAGCAAAGGAGUUAAGAGCUUGGGCAGAGUGUCACUAGAGAUUCAGUUCCAUGCUCUAGACUGGAUAGAAAUCAAGAUGGCAGGAGGCUGGUGGAUUGAGAAUGAAACAGGUUGAAAAAUACUCCUUUGAGAAUGGAUAUUAUUUUGACUAUAGUUUAAAGUCAUUUCUAGUCAAAGCUUAAGAAAGUGGGUGAUCAAACAGGAAGCUAUAAUAUUAAAAGCAACCACAAAACCAAGCUCUAACAUUGAAAUAGACAAGCUGGUUUUCUUUUGUGAUUGUUAAACAAGCACUGCAGUUAGCCCUAUGAAAGAUCCAUUGAUCGGAUCUUUCAUUAAUUGUAAUUGGAUGGUUCAUUAAUUGUAGCCAAUGUACACAUUUUGAGCCAUGGCAGUACUGUUGGAAUGAGGGCUUUGUCCCAUAAGUUGACUACUGUAGAUGUGUAAGUCCUAGAGUACUUAUUUCAGACACAUUCACAUGACUUUAGAAUGUUAUUUAACCAUAUUAUGUGUGUACCUUGACUCCCAAUUGGAUUAUGAGCUUCUGAAGGAAAGUGGAUUAACUUUUUGUGUGUUUUUGGCUGUUAACACAGAUGUUGGGUCCAAAUGAGAGUGCUCAUAAUUAUCUGUGAAAAGAAUAAGAAGACAGAGUACUUAUCUUGAGAAUAAAUAGACAGUAAAUGCUGUGCUGUCUGGACUUUUCUCAACAGGAAAGCUUUGGAAGCGGGCAUUUUUGAUAGUCUCUAUUGCAAAUCAUUGAAUGCAGCCAUUGAAAUUCAACUGCAGUGCCAGCACAUUUGAAAGAGGCCUGAUAAAAAUGCAAAGUCUAUGCUGUCUCCAGUGACUUCAGCCAAGUAAAAUAAGCCUGGAGGGGAAAAUAAACCUUUUUCUAAAACUUCACACAGGGAAAAAGUUCCCUAAGUUUUUGAGAAAUGACUAGUAUUUCCAAAAUGGAUUUGGAGUGGGAAUGUGAGAAGCCAAAGGUAACCACUAUGAAAAAUAACGGGGCAAUUGGGAAGCACAGGUUACCUUAAUCAGGCUUGGAGAGGAUGUGAUAGAAAUGUAAAUCUAAAGCUGCCUCUAGAUCCCCUGGCUAAAUAGAAACUCCUAGAGGCAGAAUCAAUUUUUCACUGUUCGAUGAUGACUGCGUUUUCUAUAGGUUGAAAGCACAGAGGUAGGAAAGUUUCAAAGUUCUCAAGAAAUAAUAGGUGAAUGAAUUAAAAAUCAUUGCUUUUGCCAACCCACCCUGCCUGGCCUCUUUCUUCCCCUGGCGAGAGUUUGGUGUCUCCAUAUCGCUCUGCCCGUCCUGGACACAGUUUACAAUCCCAGCCACUAAUUAGCUUGUUAUUGUUUCCCAGUUUAGGAAGGAGGAGAGGCAAAGAGAUCCAGGGCUACUGGAGAACAGGCCAGGAUGGGGGCUUUCAUGGGGCGUCUCUAGGGAGAGCCUGAAAAGGCAAGAGAGAGGACAUCAAAGAUAAUUCCUUCUGCUUCAGAAUUUUGUGGAGGGUCUGCUCUACAUCACACGUGUGUGUGUGUGUGUAUGUGUGUUUGUGUGUGCAUGUGUGCAUGCACAUUAAUGAUCUGAUGAAUUUUUUUUUCUUCCUGAGCUGAGGAUUGGAGCAUAUUUAGGGAAUGCUGGACAAAACUGCUGAGAUUGGAACUUCUGUAGGAACUCUGACACCAUUGUCUCCAUCGCAAUGGGAGAUAUAUAGAAACAGGAUUGAGCUGAGCUGAAGAUUUUGAAAAGAUGGGAAACGCAGGACAGAAGGUGGAAAAGAAGAAAGAUAGCCCACUCUUUAAGUGUGGGCUGCACAUAGGGACUUCCCUCCAAAGAGGACAGUAAGGAAGGGGAAUGGGGAAAGAGUAACUUCACAGUGGAGGAAACUGACAAGCACUACCUCAGCCAGGUGACUAGGUCAACAUCAACAAUGGUAAGUCAUGUCAAUAGUGUAUGCCGCUGAUAUGAUGUGAUAAGAACGGGAUUUUACUUCUGUGGGAGCCCCCAAACCCAUAGCCUUAGUCUAAUCAUGAGAAAAACAGCAGAUAAAUUCCAAUAGGAGGACAGUCUAUGAAAUACCUGACUGGUACUCCUCAAAACUGCCCAGAGUGUCACAAAUAAGGCAAGUCUGAAAAAUUGUCUCAGCCUAGAGGGGCCUAAGGAGAUAAGAUGCCUAAAUAUAACAUGGAAUGAACAGGAAAGAACAUUAAGUAAAAACAAAAGAAAUCUGUCUGAAAAAAAUAUGGACUUGAAUUAAUAAUCAUCUGUCAUUAUUGGUUCAUGAAUUGUAACAAAUGUACUGUCCUAAUGUGAGAUGUUAAUUAUAGUGGAAAAUGGUUAUGGUGUAUGUGUGAACUCUCAGUACUAUCUUUGCAAUGUUUGUGUUUUUGUUUUUUGUUAUUGUUGUUAAAAUAAACUUUUUUGUUUUGUUA